rnacentral:rRNA from 1 species
UACGAAGGGGGCUAGCGUUGCUCGGAAUCACUGGGCGUAAAGCGCACGUAGGCGGAUUCUUAAGUCAGGGGUGAAAUCCUGGAGCUCAACUCCAGAACUGCCUUUGAUACUGAGGAUCUUGAGUUCGGGAGAGGUGAGUGGAACUGCGAGUGAGAGGUGAAAUUCGUAGAUAUUCGCAAGAACACCAGUGGCGAAGGCGGCUCACUGGCCCGGUACUGACGCUGAGGUGCGAAAGCGUGGGGAGCAAAC